rnacentral:rRNA from 1 species
UUGGUGACCAGCGGAGGGAUCAUUACCGAGUUUACAACUCCCAAACCCAAUGUGAACGUUACCAAACUGUUGCCUCGGCGGGAUCUCUGCCCCGGGUGCGUCGCAGCCCCGGACCAAGGCGCCCGCCGGAGGACCAACCUAAAACUCUUUUUGUAUACCCCCUCGCGGGUUUUUUAUAAUCUGAGCCUUCUCGGCGCCUCUCGUAGGCGUUUCGAAAAUGAAUCAAAACUUUCAACAACGGAUCUCUUGGUUCUGGCAUCGAUGAAGAACGCAGCGAAAUGCGAUAAGUAAUGUGAAUUGCAGAAUUCAGUGAAUCAUCGAAUCUUUGAACGCACAUUGCGCCCGCCAGUAUUCUGGCGGGCAUGCCUGUCCGAGCGUCAUUUCAACCCUCGAACCCCUCCGGGGGGUCGGCGUUGGGGAUCGGCCCUCCCUUAGCGGGUGGCCGUCUCCGAAAUACAGUGGCGGUCUCGCCGCAGCCUCUCCUGCGCAGUAGUUUGCACACUCGCAUCGGGAGCGCGGCGCGUCCACAGCCGUUAAACACCCAACUUCUGAAAUGUUGACCUCGGAUCAGGUAGGAAUACCCGCUGAACUUAAGCAUAUCAAUAA